rnacentral:tRNA from 1 species
GCCCAGGUGGCGGAAUUGGUAGACGCAACAGACUUAAAAUCUGUUGGCCUUCGGGCCGUACCGGUUCGAUUCCGGUCCUGGGCACCA